rnacentral:tRNA from 1 species
AAGUUUAUAGUUAAAUAUAACAUCUGUAUUGCUCACAGAUAGUAAUGAACCUCUCAUUUAUUCUUA